CUACGGGGCGCUGCAGUGAGGAAUUUUGCGCAAUGGGGGAAACCCUGACGCAGCAACGCCGCGUGAGUGAAGAAGGCCUUUGGGUCGUAAAGCUCUGUCAACAGGGAAGAAGUUACAAUUGUUUAAUAGAUGGUUGUAUUGACGGUACCUGUGGAGGAAGCGCCGGCUAACUCCGUGCCAGCAGCCGCGGUAACACGGGGGGCGCAAGCGUUAUUCGGAAUUAUUGGGCGUAAAGGGCGCGCAGGCGGUCUUGUCCGUCAGGUGUGAAAGCUCGGGGCUCAACCCCGGAAGUGCACUUGAAACAGCAAGACUUGAAUACGGGAGAGGAAAGCGGAAUUCCUGGUGUAGAGGUGAAAUUCGUAGAUAUCAGGAGGAACACCGAUGGCGAAGGCAGCUUUCUGGACCGAUAUUGACGCUGAGGCGCGAAGGCGUGGGUAGCGAACGGGAUUAGAUACCCGGGUAGUC
rnacentral:rRNA from 1 species